UACAGAGGUCUCAAGCGUUGUUCGGAUUCAUUGGGCGUAAAGGGUGCGUAGGCGGCGCGGUAAGUCGGGUGUGAAAUCUCGGGGCUUAACUCCGAAACUGCAUUCGAUACUGCCGGUGCUUGAGGACUGGAGAGGAGACUGGAAUUUACGGUGUAGCGGUGAAAUGCGUAGAUAUCGUAAGGAAGACCAGUGGCGAAGGCGGGUCUCUGGACGAGUUC
rnacentral:rRNA from 1 species